rfam:Lingula anatina scaffold138, whole genome shotgun sequence.
UCUGUGUGAAAGACAUGGGUAGUGAGAUGCUGUACUUGUGUACCUCACUACCGUGUCUUUUGCAUGGAG